rnacentral:rRNA from 1 species
ACAGACUCCUACGGGAGGCAGCAGUGAGGAAUAUUGGUCAAUGGGCGGAAGCCUGAACCAGCCAAGUCGCGUGAGGGAAUAAGGCCCUACGGGUCGUAAACCUCUUUUGCCGGGGAGCAAGGGCGGGGACGUGUCCCGGCCCGGAGAGUACCCGGAGAAAAAGCAUCGGCUAACUCCGUGCCAGCAGCCGCGGUAAUACGGAGGAUGCGAGCGUUAUCCGGAUUUAUUGGGUUUAAAGGGUGCGCAGGCGGAAUGUCAAGUCAGCGGUAAAAUUUCGGGGCUCAACCCCGUCGUGCCGUUGAAACUGCAUCCCUUGAGUGCGCGAGAAGUAUGCGGAAUGCGUGGUGUAGCGGUGAAAUGCAUAGAUAUCACGCAGAACUCCGAUUGCGAAGGCAGCAUACCGGCGCGCAACUGACGCUGAAGCACGAAAGCGCGGGUAUCGAACAGGAUUAGAUACCCCCGUAC